AUUUACAUAAUUUAUAAAGAAUGUUGUGUUGAAGUUACAAACGAGGUUAAUUAGCCUGUAAAUGAU
rnacentral:tRNA from 1 species